GAAUGUAAGUACUGUGUCUUACUUACUGUGUAAGUACAGGAUAGAAUGAAGCAGAUGCCAAAAGAGGGACAGAGAAGAUACCGAAGGAGUGGGGGGAGUGACAUCUUCCACCUGGGGACUCCAGGCAGCUUUCUGGAGAAGGUUUCAGACCAACUCCCUAUGUACUCACUUCAUCUGACCUGAAGCUUUUCCACAUGGCUGCCCACCCCCAGUGAUGCUGAAGAUCCUGGUUCCCACCCCACCCUGGAGGAUUUCUUGGUGGCAUGUGCCAAGGAGAGAGUUUGAGCGGUCACUGUCUACCAUGAAGCCCCAGCUCGUGCUCAUUUUUUCAGACCUGACUUGCCAGUCUGGUUCCAGCCCAUUGUGAAACUGAAUAAAAGAAACUUAAUUUAAAA